rnacentral:rRNA from 1 species
CCUACGGGGUGCUGCAGUGGGGAAUAUUGCACAAUGGGGGGAACCCUGAUGCAGCGACGCCGCGUGAGUGAAGAAGUAUUUCGGUAUGUAAAGCUCUAUCAGCAGGGAAGAAAAUGACGGUACCUGACUAAGAAGCCCCGGCUAACUACGUGCCAGCAGCCGCGGUAAUACGUAGGGGGCAAGCGUUAUCCGGAUUUACUGGGUGUAAAGGGAGUGCAGACGGCUGUGCAAGUCUGGAGUGAAAGGCGGGGGCCCAACCCCGGCGAGCCGUUGAAACUGGCGGGCUGGAGUUGGAGAGAAGUACGCGGAAUGCGCGGUGUAGCGGUGAAAUGCUUAGAUAUCGCGCAGAACCCCGAUUGCGAAGGCAGCGUACCGGCUCCACACUGACGCUGAGGCACGAAAGCGUGGGUAUCGAACAGGAUUAGAUACCCCUGUAGUC